rnacentral:rRNA from 1 species
CCUACGUGAGGCAGCAGUGGGGAAUAUUGCGCAAUGGGCGAAAGCCUGACGCAGCGACGCCGCGUGAGGGAUGAAGGUCUUCGGAUCGUAAACCUCUGUCAGCAGGGAAGAACGGUCACUGUGCUAAUCAGCAGUGAAUUGACGGUACCUGCAAAGGAAGCACCGGCUAACUCCGUGCCAGCAGCCGCGGUACUACGGAGGGUGCGAGCGUUAAUCGGAAUUACUGGGCGUAAAGCGCGCGUAGGCGGUAUGUCAAGUCAAGGGUGAAAUCCCCGCGCUCAACGUGGGAACUGCCUUUGAAACUGGCAAACUGGAGUGUGUGAGAGGAUAGUGGAAGUCCAGGUGUAGGAGUGAAAUCCGUAGAUAUCUGGAGGAACAUCAGUGGCGAAGGCGACGAUCUGGCACAUAACUGACGCUGAGGAGCGAAAGCGUGGGUAGCAAACAGGAUUAGAUACCCUUGUAGUC